UAGAGUUUGAUCCUGGCUCAGAAUGAACGCUGGCGGCGUGGCUAAGACAUGCAAGUCGAACGGACUGUCAAAUUGAGUAAUCAAUAGGGCAGUUAGUGGCGAAAGGGUUAGUAAUAGAUAGGUAACGUACCUUGCACAUCAGAAUAGCGUCAUCCCUUAGGGGAUUUCCGAAAGGGGCGGUAAUACUGAAUAAUAUCAUAAGCCGAUGGGUUUAUGAUCAAAGAUUUAUCGGUACAAGAGCGACCUAUCUCCUAUCAGCUUGUUGGUGAGGUAACGGCCCACCAAGGCAAUGACGGGUAGCGGGACUGAGAGGUUGGCCCGCAACAUCGGGACUGAGACACUGCCCGGACCUCCACGGAGGGCUGCAGUAACGAAUAUUGCGCAAUGGGCGAAAGCCUGACGCAGCGACGCCGCGUGUGGGAGGAAGUCUUUCGGGAUGUAAACCACUGUCAGGGGUAAGAAAGUACACUUCGGUGUAUUGAUCUAACCCAGAGGAAGUCACGGCUAACUCUGUGCCAGCAGCCGCGGUAAUAAUCGAA
rnacentral:rRNA from 1 species